GACGAACGCUGGCGGCGUGCCUAAUACAUGCAAGUUGAGCGCUGAAGGUUGGUACUUGUACCAACUGGAUGAGCAGCGAACGGGUGAGUAACGCGUGGGGAAUCUGCCUUUGAGCGGGGGACAACAUUUGGAAACGAAUGCUAAUACCGCAUAAAAACUUUAAACACAAGUUUUAAGUUUGAAAGAUGCAAUUGCAUCACUCAAAGAUGAUCCCGCGUUGUAUUAGCUAGUUGGUGAGGUAAAGGCUCACCAAGGCGAUGAUACAUAGCCGACCUGAGAGGGUGAUCGGCCACAUGGGGACGUGGACACGGCCCAAACUCCUACGGGAGGCAGCAGGAGGGAAUCUUCGGCAAUGGACGAAAGUCUGACCGAGCAACGCCGCGUGAGGGAAGAAGGUUUUCGGAUCGUAAAACUCUGUUGGUAGAGAAGAACGUUGGGGAGAGUGGAAAGCUCAUCAAGUGACGGGAACUACCCAGAAAGGGGCGGCUAACUACGU
rnacentral:rRNA from 1 species